CGUAGGGAGGCAAGCGUUGUCCGGAUUCACUGGGUGGUAAAGGGUGCGUAGGCGGGACAAUAAGUCAGUGGUGAAAUCUUACGGCUCAACCGUGAAACUGCCAUUGAUACUGUUGUUCUUGAGUUCGGGAGAGGUUGAUGGAAUUCCAGGUGUAGCGGUGAAAUGCGUAGAUAUCUGGAAGAACACCAGUGGCGAAGGCGGUCAACUGGCCCGAAACUGACGCUGAGGCACGAAAGCGUGGGUAGCGAACAGGAUUAGAUACCCUGGUAGUCCACGCCCUAAACGAUGAAUGCUUGGUGUUGGCCGGAAACGGUCAGUGCCGGAGGUAACCUGGUAAGCAUUCCACCUGGGGAGUACGCUCGCAAGGGUG
rnacentral:rRNA from 1 species